UAUCUUAUAGGAACAUGGUUUGGGAAGAAUAGUGUUGAGGAGGAAAGAGCUGCUGCUAUUUCUCUAACAAGCAAGAUGGUUGAAUCAUUGAAGUUUCUGCCUGCCCAGGCUCGAUUGUAUGAAGGAAAUGAACCAAUUCAGUUCUUUACAAUCAUGCAAAGCUUCAUUGCUUUUAAGGGCGGUCUUAGCACUGGAUACAAGAAUUAUAUUGCGGAGAAGGAACUCCCAGAUGACACAUUCAAGGAGCGGUAUUGCAUUAUUUCGAGUUCAGGGUUCUGGACCAGAUAAUAUGCAGGCAAUACAAGUUGAACCAGUUGCA
rnacentral:misc_RNA from 1 species